UACAGAGGGGGCAAGCGUUGUUCGGAAUUACUGGGCGUAAAGCGCGUGUAGGCGGAUGAGCAAGUCUGCUGUGAAAGCUCCUGGCUUAACCGGGAGUGGUCGGUGGAAACUGCUCGUCUGGAGGACGGUAGAGGUAGGUAGAAUUCCCGGUGUAGUGGUGAAAUGCGUAGAUAUUGGGAGGAACACCAGUGGCGAAGGCGGCUACCUGGACCGGUUCUGACGCUGAUGCGCGAAAGCGUGGGUAGCAAACAGG
rnacentral:rRNA from 1 species